AUUCAAUUUUUCUUUAGUGUUUAAAUUUUAGGCAAUUUCAUACUCAAUUGGUGUCAGUUGCAGUCAAAAUUGACCUCAAUUUGACCAUAAAUUAAAUUUUAAUUUUAACCUUUUUUUAAUCAUGUUUUAUCUCAGCCGUUGAUCAAAAUGAUCCAACGACUGAGAUCCAAAACAUCCAUUUUUCCUUUUAAACAAAACAAAACCCUAAUCUCUCAUUUCUCAAAAAAUCAACCGCUGUCUCUCCACUCUCUCUCUACAAUCCGUCUCUUGUCUACCUUCUCUCUAAAACAAAACCAUUGCUGACCACCAGCCACCUCGCCAACCUCCGUCGCCGCUUUGCCUCCCUCCAUUCAUCCCCCAACAGCAGUCGCCCAGCGCCGCCAUCGGUGAAAUAGCUGCAGCUACCACCGUCUCUCCUUCUCAAACAGCCGUCGCCGCCGCUCUCUCCGUCAACGGUGAGCUCCUCUCCACCACCAAUUGCUGCUCCAGCUGGCUCCACAGCUGAGCCAGUUCCAGCCCAACGUCAUUCCGACAAUGUGUUGUUGGUUGGCAAAGCACGAUCAGGCCAUUUCUACAAUUUUUGAGAGACAUACUGCUAUGUAAUAUUAGAUUGCACAUCUUAGACGUGCCUUGACACAAGCCGUUGCUCCUAAUUCAAGUAGCAAAGAGGAAACAGAGAGUUAUGAGGAGUUUGUUAGGCUACUCCUUAGUGUUGUUGGACUUGACUUUUAGAUAAUUUUUAGAUAUUUUUGAACUUAGCUUUUAAUUAGUGAAAAAUCUUUAGGAGUGUUUAAGUAUUUUGAAUAUUGUUGGAUUCAUUGUUUAAGUGUUGUUGAUUUGAAUUACUUAAAUGAUUUGUUGAUGUAGUGUGUUGUAUGAUUAUUGUAAUAAUGUGUGUUGCAUAAAGAUGUAUAUAUUGAAUUGGAUUU